rnacentral:rRNA from 1 species
AUUGAACGCUGGCGGCAGGCUUAACACAUGCAAGUCGAACGAGCGGCGGACGGGUGAGUAAUGUCUGGGAAACUGCCUGAUGGAGGGGGAUAACUACUGGAAACGGUAGCUAAUACCGCAUACCAUCGGAUGUGCCCAGAUGGGAUUAGCUAGUAGGUGGGGUAAGGGCUCACCUAGGCGACGAUCCCUAGCUGGUCUGAGAGGAUGACCAGCCACACUGGAACUGAGACACGGUCCAGACUCCUACGGGAGGCAGCAGUGGGGAAUAUUGCACAAUGGGCGCAAGCCUGAUGCAGCCAUGCCGCGUGUGUGAAGAAGGCCUUCGGGUUGUAAAGUACUUUCAGCGAGGAGGCGUUACUCGCAGAAGAAGCACCGGCUAACUCCGUGCCAGCAGCCGCGGUAAUUC